AUUGAACGCUGGCGGCAGGCCUAACACAUGCAAGUCGAGCGGAUGAAGGGAGCUUGCUCCUGGAUUCAGCGGCGGACGGGUGAGUAAUGCCUAGGAAUCUGCCUGGUAGUGGGGGAUAACGUCCGGAAACGGGCGCUAAUACCGCAUACGUCCUGAGGGAGAAAGUGGGGGAUCUUCGGACCUCACGCUAUCAGAUGAGCCUAGGUCGGAUUAGCUAGUUGGUGGGGUAAAGGCCUACCAAGGCGACGAUCCGUAACUGGUCUGAGAGGAUGAUCAGUCACACUGGAACUGAGACACGGUCAAGACUCCUACGGGAGGCAGCAGUGGGGAAUAUUGGACAAUGGGCGAAAGCCUGAUCCAGCCAUGCCGCGUGUGUGAAGAAGGUCUUCGGAUCGUAAAGCACUUUAAGUUGGGAGGAAGGGCAGUAAGUUAAUACCUUGCUGUUUUGACGUUACCAACAGAAUAAGCACCGGCUAACUUCGUG
rnacentral:rRNA from 1 species